AACGAACGCUGGCGGCAGGCCUAACACAUGCAAGUCGAACGCGCGUAGCAAUACGCGAGUGGCGCACGGGUGAGUAACACGUGGGAAUCAACCCUGAGGUACGGAAUAACCGCGGGAAACUGCGGCUAAUACCGGAUGUCCCCUAUGGGGGAAAGAUUUAUCGCCUUGGGACGAGCCCGCGUCCGAUUAGCUAGUUGGUGAGGUAACGGCUCACCAAGGCUACGAUCGGUAGCUGGUCUGAGAGGAUGACCAGCCACACUGGAACUGAGAUACGGUCCAGACUCCUACGGGAGGCAGCAGUGGGGAAUAUUGGGCAA
rnacentral:rRNA from 1 species